GGCGUUAGGAAUAGGUAAUGGU
rnacentral:siRNA from 1 species